CCUACGGGAGGCAGCAGUGAGGAAUAUUGGUCAAUGGGCGAGAGCCUGAACCAGCCAAGUCGCGUGCGGGAUGACUGCCCUACGGGUUGUAAACUUCUUUUGUACGGGAGUAACACGCCUUACGUGUAGAGCGUUGACAGUACCAUAUGAAUAAGCAUCGGCUAACUCCGUGCCAGCAGCCGCGGUAAUACGGAGGAUGCGAGCGUUAUCCGGAUUUAUUGGGUUUAAAGGGUGCGUAGGCGGCAUUAUAAGUUAGUGGUAAAAUAUUGGGGCUUCACCUCACUACGACAUGAAUACUGUAGAGCUAGAGAACAGACGAGGUAGGCGGAAUAAGUUAAGUAGCGGUGAAAUGCAUGGAUAUAACUUAGAACACCGAUAGCGAAGGCAGCUGACCAGACUGAGUCUGACGCUGAUGCACGAGAGCAUGGGUAGCGAACAGGAUUAGAUACCCGUGUAGUC
rnacentral:rRNA from 1 species